rnacentral:rRNA from 1 species
UACGUAGGUGGCAAGCGUUGUCCGGAAUUAUUGGGCGUAAAGGGCGCGUAGGCGGUCCUUUAAGUCAGAUGUGAAAACCCGAGGCUCAACUUCGGGCGUGCAUUUGAAACUGGAGGACUAGAGUGCAGGAGAGGUAAGUGGAAUUCCUAGUGUAGCGGUGAAAUGCGUAGAUAUUAGGAGGAACACCAGUGGCGAAGGCGACUUACUGGACUGUAACUGACGCUGAGGCGCGAAAGCGUGGGGAGCAAACAGG